GGAUGAGUAGGAGCCUCGGGCAUCCCCAUCCGUGUCUAUUACUCUUGUUGCUUUGGCAGGCCGUGGUCUUCCCUGUGGGCUCUGCCUGCAUGUGCCUGCCAGAGGACCAAACUCUGAAUUUUAGUAAUGUCUGAGUACUAUAUAAUAGUUAAAACUUUCAACAACGGAUCUCUUGGUUCUGGCAUCGAUGAAGAACGCAGCGAAAUGCGAUAAGUAAUGUGAAUUGCAGAAUUCAGUGAAUCAUCGAAUCUUUGAACGCACAUUGCACCCGGUGGUAUUCCGCCGGGUAUGCCUGUUCGAGCGUCUGUAGAACAACAAAUUACCAGGUCUUGGGUUUCGACCCAGGCUUGAUUCUGGGGUUGCGGCAUCGUCUGCAGCCCUAAAGUAAUGUGGCGGCACCGAUAGGUUCUAAGCGUAGUAAUUUCUCCUCGCUACAGAGUCUUUCGGCGCAUUGGGUACUCACUCCCGGCCAUAAAACCCCCAAUUUUAGUUUGACCUCCGAUCAAGUAGGGAUACCCGCUGAACUUAAGCAUAUCAAUAAGCGGAGGAAAUGUGGUCUCAUGACUAUUUCUGGCUGGUUUUUCCAUAAACUCCCAUCUUCAAGCCGAGGAGUGAUUUCUGCUUUUACCGAGUAAAAUUGCCCUGGUAAUACUUUGAGCCGAAUCCGAUCCUUGUUCUCCGGAAUUUAAAAACUGCUUAUUUAACUCUUUUCGCUACCCUAUCUAUUUCUCCAUGUCGAAUCUCAACCAACAACGGCUUUUAACCCGUGGGGUACAUUCCCCUUUAUUGCCCUUUUCCCCUCCCAGGGAUUCCACUUUCGUUAUCUUUAGAAUUUCCAUGU
rnacentral:rRNA from 1 species